UUUCCAUUCACCCAUUUCUUGGUGCAGGGGUUUGAUGUGUAAUCAGAAUUAUGGGUUAUAAUCUCAGCCUGUCCUCCCUCCCCUGGCUGCGAACUAGCCCCUAUAUCCUCGCUGUGUUUUUGCCCUUUGCAAAUGCUCACGGGGGUGGCCGAAUUUGGGGUGGGGGAGGGCUGUUUGUCCCUGGCUACAUGCCAUCAUCCCCCCACGGGGGCUUUGGACCCGGAGGCAGAGGGUUUGGGCCAAGAGCCCCAGGAGCAGCGGGCACAGGCUGACGGGACUGAUCAGCUCCUUCCCCGCUCUGCUGCGAGACCAGGACCCCAGCGCCGCUGCUUCAGCUGCCUGGCUCCCCGGAGUCUUUGGGUGAUUUUCACCCUUGGAGCCUGCCAGCAGAACGACUCGGUGGCUUUUUUUUUCCCCAGCCACACGUGGAAGCAGUUCUUGGUGGUUUGGGUCCUUUGUAUUCUGUGGAUUAUAAAAGCUCUCUCCUGUAAGGAGCCUGGAAAAGGAAGCGCACUAAUUAUUAUUAACUCUGCCAAAGCCAAUAAUAUCCUUGGGUAAUUAUUGGUUUACCCAAUUUUCCUGUGAGCCUACUGUGUAAAUACACCGUUGUGAAGAGGCUAUUACUUCCUCCACGCUCCACCUCGCCAGAGCCCUGAUGGUCUGGGGCUGGUGACGUGCCCGUCGUGAUCAGGGCUGUUAAUUUUGGCGGGCAAUCACCACCGGUAAUCAAACACAAAAUGGGAAACAGCCCAAAUCAAUGAGCUCCCUCCACCCUCCCAGUCCUCCCCCUUCUCUCCUCCCCAGCCUUCCCAAAGACCCCCAGCUGGGCCCGUUUGCCACCCCUGUGUGAAAUCCAGCAGGUGGGUCCCCAGGGACCACGGCCACCCCUCCAAGGCUUCCCGGGCUGGGACAGCAUCACGGCGGGGACUGUCCCACUGACUCCAGGUCCGUCCCUAGGCGGGAUUCCCCGUCCCCGGCGGGCGCGGGGCGGGCAGGCAGCCGGCGGGGAGGAAGCGUGUCUCCCGGCAGGAGACCCCCGCCGCUCCCCCUUUCAUCACCGCUCAUUUAUUUGGAUUAGAGUCAGCUCUCUCCUGGAUCCUUUGUUCGCUGUUUGUUAUUCCACAUGCACCCAGCGCUGCGCGUUCAUCUUUAUUAGCUCUAAUUGCUUCCCCGUUCUAAUGGGAUCUCACCAUUCGCGUACAAUUGAAAGGAAAUGUAUUCAUUAAAAUAAUUCUCCUCCUAACUGUUGUUUGGGGCUGGUGCUGUCAGUGCCGCUCGCUGUGGUUUCCUCCCUGCCCGCUGCCGAAUGGGACCGGGACACCGGCAAAGCCUUGUUAAUGAUUUGGUGUUAAUGUGAACUGUGGGCUGGGGUCAGUUUGGGCGAUGUUUGUUGAUGGAGGAAAAGGUCCCAAAGCCACCCCUGCUCGUGGUGCUAAGUGUGGGGAGCACGUGAAGGGGUGCCACGUGUGUGCCCCCUUCCACAGGCAGCCCAGCGGCUCCCAUCCCACGCACCAGAGCUCCCCAGCCUUCGAGGGGAAGGAAUUAAAUGAGAUGAGCUAAAGCCAGGGAUGCUGGAGAGCUGGAGAAACCAGGCCAGGCAGAAGUCCCCAGUCAAAAUUAGUGACAGGAGAUGGCUUCAAGCAGCAAACGAGCCAUCUUCCUAACAGCUCGGCUCCCUCCCUGGCACUCAGACCAACUUUUCCACCUUAUUUAUUUCCUCCCACCACCGCUAGUUAAGCAUCUUUAGGGGACACUUUAAUGACCCUUCUUCCUCCCGGCUGUUUAUGCUGGGCUUUCCCUCCCCUACCUGGCCCUGCGGAGGUGCCAUCACCACCGUAGCUAAGCAACCUCCCCAUUAGCACACUUGUGGCUCCGACCCAGCCAUCUCCUCACCAGCUUUACAUAAUUAGCCCUUCGGUUUUGUCCGCCGGGCCCCUCUCCUCCCCUCCUGACACCCCAGACGCCUGGUCUCUGCCGCACUGUCCGCUCCAACAAACACAUCUCCCCUUUGCUGGGAAAAAAACCCACCCCAUCCCCUGCUUUGUCACAUCCCUGACCCUCUGCGACGCCGCCUUCCCAACCCGGCACGUUUCUGCCAUGCUGUGUUAAGGCCAUCACGUAAGGCCGGGCCAGGAGCUGGCAGUUCCAGGGCUGGUGGAGCCGGGCAGCGCCCGCCCUUGGGAUGCAGACGGGCAGGAGAUGUCCCUGCAAAGGGGGGUGGCAGGGUCCUCCCCUGCUGGGCCACCCCACCCACCACAUUUCAGUCACUGAUGAGCCUACCUGAGCAUGGGCACGGCUGUGGGCCGGGAGGGAGCACCAGUUUGGACCAGCACCACCUCCCUGGGAGAGACCCUGUGGGACACGACCCCCCCAGCAUCUCCCCUGCUCUCGUUCCUGUCCCGUGUCCCCUCUGCGGGGGUGGCUUCGCAAUGGGCACCGAAGCUGAGCCCACACGGUGGCCAUUCCCACCAGCGGGGUAUUCCUGGGCCCCCUCGGGGCUCCCCUUGUGCAGACUCAGCCUUGCAGCUUUCCCGGGGCUGGUCCUGGGCUGGAGCUGGUCCGGGAGCUUUGUUUAAAAUGCAAAUGACUCGGCAUUGCCUAACAAGAAUGGCACUAAUGGGACGUGAGCCUGUGCCCGCUAAUAGCAUCCUGCAGUACUUCUGAAGUGAGUGUCUGCUUUGUCUCCGCAUUUGUCUGUCACAGAAGAACAUUACCCAGGCCCCGGCUCCCAUUCUAUUAAUAUAUUUGCUUAAUUAUGCUGUAGGGAGUGCCAGGCUGGCAGACAGGCUGCAGAAGCUCCGCUAUCGCUGGAAGUCCUCUGCCGGAGAUGACAGCGGUGACAUCAUGGGCAGGUGACAUCAGCCCCGUGACACGUUCCCGCUCUUCCAUCUGGCUCCUGGAACCCUCCCGACCCUGCCCUGCCAACCUUGGGCUAGCACAAGGCGGCUGGGGGCUACCAAGUCACCCCCUGAUGAAAGAUACAUGCUGUGUCCCCCAACAACUCGCCCUGCACAUCCCUACGCCUGCGUCCGGCUGCCAAGAGCGGCCUCCUGCUCCCUGCCAGGGCUCCCCUCGAGCUGCAUUUCAAAAGUGCCUACCCAGCCCCGAAAGGCAGGGUGUGGGACAGACGGUGACCAUCUGUCCCCAGGUCAAGUGGCUGUGACAGGCAUCCUCUGGCCACGACGACAGCGAGAGGGACGGUCUCAAGGCCAUUCUUCACAGAGGCUCAGAAAUCCCUGCCUGCUCCGGGGCUUCUUUAUUCAUCCUUGGGAUGCACUUGAGAGCUGUCAGCUCCCCGAGCCACGGCGAAGCUGAGCGUCUCACCAAAAAACCCCCUGUGCUGGGGUGGGAAGAGGAGGAUGAAGGCUUUCGGCAGAGCCGGGAGCCCUGUGCGGGGCCGGGGUGUUUCUCCCCGGCGCAGACAGCUCGCUCGCACACGCAGGGAUGGGGGCAGCACCCGGGCAGCACUGGGAAUCGCUGUGGCCACCAGUAUGUGCAGGCUGAGGGGGUACGUGUCAGUAAAUGCCCGUGAGGUGGAUGGGGAAGCACUGGGGUGAGACAGGGCUGGGAGGGCUGCCCAUGGCGCCCAGUCUCGGGCUGGGCAUCCCCACACCCAGCUCUGUUAUGCUUUUUUGGGAGUGUUGCUGGUUUUUUGGCCAAGUGGUGGGACAGCCCGUGCCCAGUCUGGGAGCUCUCAUCCCCCAAACCCUACUCAGCUGCAGCUGAAGCCCAGGUCCCCUUCCCUUCCCCUCCUGCCUCCUCCUCCUCACUGAGGUCUUUUCCUGACCCCUCCUCUGCCUUGAUGGGUCACCUCGGACCCCUCUCCCUCUUCUCCUCCUUCUCCUCCACCCCUCUGUCAGGUUUCAGAAUAAAAUGUUAGAUCCUGGUCUGGUGGGAGGUGUC
rnacentral:lncRNA from 1 species